GAUGAACGCUGGCGGCGUGCCUAAUACAUGCAAGUCGAGCGAACGGACGAGAAGCUUGCUUCUCUGAUGUUAGCGGCGGACGGGUGAGUAACACGUGGAUAACCUACCUAUAAGACUGGGAUAACUUCGGGAAACCGGAGCUAAUACCGGAUGAUAUUUUGAACCGCAUGGUUCAAAAGUGAAAGACGGUCUUGCUUUCACUUAUAGAUGGAUCCGCGCUGCAAUAGCUAGUUGGUAAGGUAACGGCUUACCAAGGCAACGAUGCAUAGCCGACCUGAGAGGGUGAUCGGCCACACUGGAACUGAGACACGGUACAGACUCCUACGGGAGGCAGCAGUAGGGAAUCUUCCGCAAUGGGCGAAAGCCUGACGGAGCAACGCCGCGUGAGUGAUGAAGGUCUUCGGAUCGUAAAACGCUGUUAGUAGGGAAGAACAUAUGUGUAAGUAACUGUGCACAUCUUGACGGUACCUAAUCAGAAAGCCCCGGCUAACUACGUG
rnacentral:rRNA from 1 species